rnacentral:hammerhead_ribozyme from 1 species
AUCCGACUGAUGAGUCCCAAAUGGGACGAGACGCGCGUCGCACUGGAU